UCUGAUGAUAGGGACAACGUUUCGAAAGGACUAGUAGAACCGUGAUACAUACGUCCUACGGGAGAAAGUGGGGGCUCUUCGGACGUGAUGUAAUCGGAUGAGCCUAGGUCGGAUAUCGUGUAUGGUGGGGUAAAGGCCCACCAAGGCGACGAUCCGUACGUGACUGAGAGGAUGAUCAGUCACACUGGAACUGCUAUAUCGGUCCAGACUCCUACGGGAGGCAGCAGUGGGCAAUGUAGUACAAUGGGCGCGUGAUUGAUCCAGCCAUGCCGCGUGUGUGAAGAAGGUCUUCGGAUUGUAAAGCACUUUCCUGUGGGAGGAAGGGCUGUCAGUUAAUACCUUGCAGUUUUGACGUUACCGACAGAAUAAGCACCGGCGUGCUUCGUGCCAGCAGCCGCGCCAGUAGGAAGGGUGCAAGCGUUAAUCGGAAUUACUGGGCGUAAAGCGCCAUGUAGUGGUUUGGUAAGUUGGAUGUGAAAGCCCCGGGCUCAACCUGGGAACUGCAUCCAAAACUGCCUGACUAGAGUACGGUAGAGGGUGGUGGAAUUUCCUGUGUAGCGGUGAAAUGCGUAGAUAUAGGAAGGAACACCAGUGGCGAAGGCGACCACCUGGACUGAUACUGACACUGAGGUGCGAAAGCGUGGGGAGCACAGUGAUACCCUGGUAGUCCACGCCGUAACCAGUGACGAUGUCGACUAGCCGUUGGGCUCCUUGAGAGCUUAGUGGCGCAGCUAACGCAUUAAGUCGACCGCCUAUGAUGUACGGCCGCAAGGUUAAAACUCAAAUGAAUUGACGGGGGCCCGCACAAGCGGUGGAGCAUGUGGUUUAAUUCGAAGCAACGCGAAGAACCUUACCUGGCGUCUUGACAUCCUGCGAACUGGGUAGACAUGAGGGUGCCUUCGGGAGCGCAGAGACAGGUGCUGCAAUAUGGCUGUCGUCAGCUCGUAGUAGAUGUUGGGUUAAGUCCCGUAACGAGCGCAACCCUUGUCCUUAGUUACCAGCACGUCAUGGUGGGCCGUAUAAGGAGACUGCCGGUGCGUAACCGGAGGAAGGUGGCAUGAUACGUC
rnacentral:rRNA from 1 species